UUGAUCCAGAGAUUUCCGAAUGGGACAACCCAAUAUCUUGAAGAGGUAUUAUCUUACUAUGUAAGAGGCUAACGCAGGGAACUGAAACAUCUUAGUACCUGCAGGAAAAGAAAAUAAACAAUGAUUCCCCCAGUAGUGGCGAGCGAACGGGGAACAGCCCAAACCAUCCAUGUUACGGCAUGGGUGGGGUUGUAGGACUACGCCGUUGCAUGAAGACAUCAGAGAAGAACUUUCUGGAAAGAAAGACCAUAGAGCAUGACAGUUGCGUAUUCGAAUGUUGUCGAAGCAUAGUAGUAUCCUGAGUAGCGCGGAGCACGAGGAAUUCUGCGUGAAUCUGCCGGGACCAUCCGGUAAGGCUAAAUACUCCCGAGAGACCGAUAGCGAACCAGUACCGUGAGGGAAAGGUGAAAAGCACUUCGAACAGAAGAGUGAAAUAGUUCCUGAAACCGUGCGCCUACAAGCGGUCGGAGCUCGUUAAUGAGUGACGGCGUGCCUUUUGCAUAAUGAACCUACGAGUUGCCUUUGCCGGCAAGGUUAAGUGUGACGACACACGUAUCCGAAGCGAAAGCGAGUCUGAACAGGGCGUAUAGUCGGCAGUGGCAGACGCGAAACCAAGUGAUCUACCCUUGGCCAGGUUGAAGGCUGGGUAACACCAGCUGGAGGACCGCACCAAUAAGCGUUGAAAAGCUUCUGGAUGAGCUGAGGGUAGGGGUGAAAGGCUAAUCAAACUUGGAGAUAGCUCGUACUCCCCGAAAUGCAUUUAGGUGCAGCCUUGCGGGUUACUGAUGUGAGGUAGAGCGACUGAUAAGAUGCGAGGGCUUCACCGCCUAUCAAGUCUUGACAAACUCCGAAUGCGCAUCAGUUCUACCGCAGGAGUGAGGGCAUGGGUGCUAAGGUCCGUGCCCGAGAGGAGAAGAAUCCGGACCACCUGCUAAGGUCCCGAAAUGACAGCUAAGUUAAACUAACGAAGUCUGACUGCUAAGACAGCUAGGAUGUUGGCUUGGAAGCAGCCAUUCAUUUAAAGAGUGCGUAACAGCUCACUAGUCGAGGAGUCGGGCGUGGAUAAUAAUCGGGUAUCAAGUUGUCUACCGAAGCAGUGGGAUCAUUAAUAUGAUCGGUAGGGGAGCAUUCCAGUCAGCGUCGAAGGCGUACCGUGAGGUAUUCUGGAGCGUCUGGAAAAGCAAAUGUAGGUAUAAGUAACGAUAAAGGGGGCGGGAAACCCCCUCGCCGAAAGACUAAGGUUUCCUGAUCAACGCUAAUCGGAUCAGGGUCAGUCGGGUCCUAAGGCUCAGCCGAACGGCGAUGCCGAUGGCAGAAACGGUUAAUAUUCCGUUACUACCUUCAGGAGUGACGUGGAGACGCAGUAGUGACAGUGCCGCCAUCUGACGGAAUAGAUGGUUGAAGGGUGUAGGAGUCGAUCAUGGCAGGCAAAUCCACCAUGAGAUCCGAACCUGACAGUAUGCCGCGUCCUUCGGGACAAGGCAAUAGUGCGCGUAAGCAUGCUGCCGAGAAAAUCCGCUAAACUUAAUCCUGCAGGUACCCGUACCGCAAACGGACACACGUAGUCGGGAUGAAUAUUCUAAGGCGCUUGAGUGAUUCACGGUUAAGGAACUAGGCAAACUGACCCUGUAACUUCGGGAUAAAGGGUCCCUACCCUUUUAUGGGAGGGCGCAGAGAAUCGGUCCAGGCAACUGUUUAACAAAAACACAGGGCUGUGCCAAAUCGAAAGAUCCAGUAUACAGCCUGACACCUGCCCGGUGCUGGAAGGUUAAGAGGAGAUGUCAUCGAUAAGAGAAGCGUUGAAUUGAAGCCCCAGUAAACGGCGGCCGUAACUAUAACGGUCCUAAGGUAGCGAAAUUCCUUGUCGGGUAAGUUCCGACCUGCACGAAUGGUGUAAUGAUCUGGACGCUGUCUCAACCGUGAGCUCAGUGAAAUUGUAGUAUCGGUGAAGAUGCCGAUUACCCGCGAUGGGACGAAAAGACCCCGUGAACCUUUACUAUAGCUUAUCAUUGAAUCUGGGCACGUGAUGUGUAGGAUAGGUCGGAGGCUUUGAAGCAGGUACGCCAGUAUUUGUGGAGCCGCUGUUGAAAUACGACCCUUUAUUUGUUUGGAUUCUAACCCGUGGAUACGGGGACAUUGAUUGGUGGGUAGUUUGACUGGGGUGGUCGCCUCCAAAAGCGUAACGGAGGCUUCU
rnacentral:rRNA from 1 species